rnacentral:tRNA from 2 species
CCUAGCUCAAUUGGUAGAGCAACUGACUUGUAAUCAGUAGGUUGGGGGUUCAAGUCCUCUGG